GAGUUUGAUCCUGGCUCAGAACGUACGCUGGCGGCACGCCUAACACAUGCAAGUCGAACGAAGUAGCAAUACUUAGUGGCAGACGGGUGAGUAACAUGUAGGUAUCUGCCCUUUGGCCUGGAAUAACACGAGGAAACUUGUGCUAAUACCGGAUAAGUCUUUACGGAGAAAGCUUUUUGCACCAUUGGAUGAGCCUGCACUUGAUUAGUUUGUUGGUGGGGUAAUGGCCUACCAAGACUGUGAUCAAUAGCUGAUUUGAGAGGAUGAUCAGCCACAUUGGGACUGAGACACGGCCCAAACUCCUACGGGAGGCAGCAGUGGGGAAUCUUGCACAAUGGAGGAAACUCUGAUGCAGCGAUGCCGCGUGAGUGAAGAAGGCCCUUGGGUUGUAAAGCUCUUUCGUCGGGGAAGAAAAUGACUGUACCCGAAUAAGAAGGUCCGGCUAACUUCGUGCCAGCAGCCGCGGUAAUACGAAGGGACCUAGCGUAGUUCGGAAUUACUGGGCUUAAAGAGUUCGUAGGUGGUUGAAAAAGUUAGUGGUGAAAUCCCAGAGCUUAACUCUGGAACUGCCAUUAAAACUUU
rnacentral:rRNA from 1 species